rnacentral:rRNA from 1 species
UACGGAGGGUGCAAGCGUUAUCCGGAUUUACUGGGUUUAAAGGGUGCGUAGGCGGGCUUUUAAGUCAGCGGUGAAAUCUCCGGGCUCAACCCGGAAAUUGCCGUUGAUACUAUUAGUCUUGAAUUAAGUUGAGGUGGGCGGAAUAUGUCAUGUAGCGGUGAAAUGCUUAGAGAUGUGGAGGAACACCGAUGGCGAAGGCAGCCCCCUGGGUCAAGAUUGACGCUCAUGCACGAAAGCGUGGGGAGCAAACAGG